UGGGGAAUAUUGCACAAUGGGCGCAAGCCUGAUGCAGCCAUGCCGCGUGUAUGAAGAAGGCCUUCGGGUUGUAAAGUACUUUCAGCGAGGAGGAAGGCGUUGUGGUUAAUAACCGCAACGAUUGACGUUACUCGCAGAAGAAGCACCGGCUAACUCCGUGCCAGCAGCCGCGGUAAUACGGAGGGUGCAAGCGUUAAUCGGAAUUACUGGGCGUAAAGCGCACGCAGGCGGUCUGUCAAGUCGGAUGUGAAAUCCCCGGGCUCAACCUGGGAACUACAUCCGAAACUGGCAGGCUAGAGUCUUGUAGAGGGGGGUAGAAUUCCAGGUGUAGCGGUGAAAUGCGUAGAGAUCUGGAGGAAUACCGGUGGCGAAGGCGGCCCCCUGGACAAAGACUGACGCUCAGGUGCGAAAGCGUGGGGAGCAAACA
rnacentral:rRNA from 1 species